rnacentral:rRNA from 1 species
AGAGUUUGAUCCUGGCUCAGGAUGAACGCUGGCGGUGUGCCUUAGACAUGCAAGUCGAACGAAGCACUCUCGACAGAUCUCUUCGGAUUGAUGUCGGUUGUGACUUAGUGGCGAACGGGUGAGUAACACGUGGGUGACCUACCCCGGAGUGGAGCAUAACAGAGGGAAACUUCUGCUAAUUCUCCAUGGUCUUGUACCUCUUGUGGUGCAAGUAAAGAUUUAUCGCUCCGGGAUGGGCCCGCGGUCCAUCAGCUUGUUGGUAGGGUAAAGGCCUACCAAGGCGACGAUGGGUAGCCGGCCUGAGAGGGUGUACGGCCACACUGGCACUGAGACACGGGCCAGACUCCUACGGGAGGCAGCAGUGGGGAAUUUUGCGCAAUGGGGGAAACCCUGACGCAGCAACGCCGCGUGAGUGAUGAAGGCCCUCGGGUCGUAAAGCUCUUUUAGUGGGGAAGAAACGUUUCGGGACGAAUAAUCCCGAUUCCUGACGUACCCACAGAAAAAGUUCCGCUAACUA